GGAUCAGAUACCCUGGUAGUUCACGCCGUAAACGAUGUCUACUAGUUGUCGGUGGUCUUGUACUGCUGGUAACGCAGCUAACGCGAUAAGUAGACCGCCUGGGGAGUACGGCCGCAAGGUUAAAACUCAAAUGAAUUGACGGGGGCCCGCACAAGCGGUGGAGCAUGUGGUUUAAUUCGAAGCAACGCGAAGAACCUUACCUGGCCUUGACAUCCUGCGAACUUUCUAGAGAUAGAUUGGUGCCUUCGGGAACGCAGAGACAGGUGCUGCAUGGCUGUCGUCUCGUGCCGCUG
rnacentral:rRNA from 1 species